rnacentral:rRNA from 1 species
UACGAAGGGAGCUAGCGUUGUUCGGAAUUACUGGGCGUAAAGGGCGCGUAGGCGGCAUGGCAAGUCAGGAGUGAAAGGCCUGGGCUCAACCGAGGAACUGCUUUUGAUACUGCCAAGCUAGAGUGCGGAAGGGGCAACUGGAAUUCCCAGUGUAGCGGUGAAAUGCGUAGAUAUUGGGAAGAACACCUGAGGCGAAGGCGGGUUGCUGGGCCGACACUGACGCUGAGGCGCGAAAGCCAGGGGAGCAAACGGG